UACGAAGGGUGCAAACGUUGCUCGGAAUCAUUGGGCGUAAAGCGCACGUAGGCGGCCUCAUAAGUCGGAUGUGAAAUCCCUCGGCUCAACCGAGGACGUGCAUCCGAAACUGUGAAGCUCGAGUAUGGAAGAGGGUCGCGGAAUUCCCGGUGUAGAGGUGAAAUUCGUAGAUAUCAGGAGGAACACCAAUUGCGAAGGCAGCUCGCUGGGACGUUACUGACGCUGAGACGCGAAAGCGUGGGGAGCAAACAGG
rnacentral:rRNA from 1 species